UCAUUUCAUAUGCAGGAGAGGUCCCCCA
rnacentral:piRNA from 1 species